rnacentral:rRNA from 1 species
GGCCUAUUGAUUUUUUAAUAGGUCUGGCCUGCCCAGUGAUAAUUUUAACGGCCGCGGUAUAUUGACCGUGCAAAGGUAGCAUAAUCAUUAGUCUUUUAAUAGGAGGCUGGAAUGAAGGGUCUAACGAGAAAUUAACUGUCUCAAUUACAAAUUUGAAUUUAUCUUUUGAGUCAAAAGACUUAAAUUUAGUUGGUGGACGAGAAGACCCUAUAGAGCUUAACAAUUUUUUAUAUAUAUAUUUAUUUAGGCUGAAAUUAUUUAUUUAUAUUUAAAAAUUUGUUUUGUUGGGGUGACAAUAAAUAUAUACUUAACUUUUAUUAUAAUAUAAACAUUAAUUUAUGAUUUCUGGAUCCAGAAUUUUUGAUCAUUAGAUUAAGUUACC